GAUGAACGCUGGCGGCGUGCCUAAUACAUGCAAGUCGAGCGAACAGACGCGGAGCUUGCUCCUCUGACGUUAGCGGCGGACGGGUGAGUAACACGUGGAUAACCUACCUAUAAGACUGGGAUAACUUCGGGAAACCGGAGCUAAUACCGGAUAAUAUAUUGAACCGCAUGGUUCAUUAGUGAAAGACGGUUUUGCUGUCACUUAUAGAUGGAUCCGCGCCGCAUUAGCUAGUUGGUAAGGUAACGGCUUACCAAGGCAACGAUGCGUAGCCGACCUGAGAGGGUGAUCGGCCACACUGGAACUGAGACACGGUCCAGACUCCUACGGGAGGCAGCAGUAGGGAAUCUUCCGCAAUGGGCGAAAGCUUGACGGAGCAACGCCGCGUGAGUGAUGAAGGUCUUCGGAUCGUAAAACUCUGUUAUUAGGGAAGAACAAAUGUGUAAGUAACUAUGCACGUCUUGACGGUACCUAAUCAGAAAGCCACGGCUAACUACGUG
rnacentral:rRNA from 1 species